GGGGACGUAGUAUAACCUGGUAGAAUUGGGGCCUCCAGAGCCUUAGAUCCGCGUUCAAAUCGCGGCGUCCCCA
rnacentral:tRNA from 1 species